ACCUAGCAUCAAGAGAAGAGUUGUACUCUCUCCAACCUGCCCAAUCCGGCAAGGUGGAAAAAAUGAUGUGGCAUUCAGCAAAUAUAGGAGAUCGC
rnacentral:ncRNA from 10 species